ensembl:ncRNA lncRNA:CR44484 long non-coding RNA:CR44484
CAUGUUUACACAAUAUUGUGUACGGUUUUUGUGCUGCUGCCUUUGAGCCUCAACAUUCGUUUUGUGCACCUGUCAAUCGUUUUCUUUUUUAGGUCAGAAGCCGUCGUUCUGCGGUCAAAAUGCAAUUGUAUUCAUCUGCUGUACCGGCCUUAAAGUAUGAUGAAGCCAUCUCGUUUUUUUACCCAGCGCGAGGACACGCGGCGUGUGCACAAUUAAUCAAACAACUGGACAAAAAAACGGAGAGCAAAAACGAGGAAUAUUCAAUUAUUCAUACCCACUGUUAGCCCGAAUGUGUGGCACAUAACCACAAACAGGCGUCGCCAAACAUAAUGUUGAUAAGUGUAAAUGCCAUAUGAAAAUGUUGUUCGUGCCACGUGC